GAAACUACUAAGCACCGGUCAACAUUAUACCGCCAAGGACCCACAAGAGUCUCCCUCCAACCAGGAGGCCAAUCACAACGCGACACAUGUCAACAUCAGAGGCCAAUCAUAACGCGACACGUGUUGACAUCAGAGGCCAAUCACAGCACGACACGUGUCAAUGUUAGAAUGAAACUAGAAACUCUCUUCUAUAAAUAGAGAUCAUUCUCUCACAAUAUUUCCUAAUGUCAUUUGUACUAAAUCAUUCACUAGUACUCACUAAAGAAGAACUUGAACCUAUGUACUUAUGUAAACCCUUCACAAUUAAUGAGAACUCCUCUACUCCGUGGACGUAGCCAAUCUGGGUGAACCACGUACAUCUUGUAUUUGCUUCCCUAUCUCUAUCCAUUUGCAUACUUAUCCACACUAGUGACCAGAGCAAUCUAGCAAAGGUCACAAACUUGACACUUUCUGUUGUACCAAAGUCCUCACUGAUUUUGUGCAUCAACAAAGUUUAUUAAUAAAAAAUGUUAUUACUUUAUUGGCUAGAUUAUUGCCAUUUCGAUAAACUCCAUCCGCUAUUACAAGGGCUUCUUGCCAAGCUUUCAAAUAUUUAUGUAGAUGUUUGUACCUACUAUUGCUCGGUUUAGGAUGUGCCUUGAAUCUGCUUCAUAAAUUGUGCAUAAAUCGUCUUUCACAUUUGUUGCACCCUCAUAUCAUUCAUGUGACCAGGUCAUGAGUAACAUACACGGAAAACCACAAGCAAAGUAACAUCUUCCCCGAUCAACCAAAUUGCUUUCUCACUCUUUUUUUUUGGUAGAAAAAGGAUUUGUAAAGUGAAAAACAAAUAUAGAAGAUUGUAAUAAAAAUUAUAUUGAGUUCUGAUGUGGGAAUGAAAAAUAUGGUUGGGUAUUUAUAGAAUAAUAAUAAAAGAAAAUCAUUUUUUUUU
rnacentral:lncRNA from 1 species